UACGUAGGGUGCGAGCGUUAAUCGGAAUUACUGGGCGUAAAGCGUGCGCAGGCGGUUCGCCAAGUCAGGUGUGAAAUCCCCGGGCUUAACCUGGGAAUUGCGCUUGAAACUAGCGGGCUUGAGUGUGGCAGAGGGGGGUGGAAUUCCACGUGUAGCAGUGAAAUGCGUAGAGAUGUGGAGGAACACCGAUGGCGAAGGCAGCCCCCUGGGGUAACACUGACGCUCAUGCACGAGAGCGUGGGGAGCAAACAGG
rnacentral:rRNA from 1 species